UUGCAAGCUGCUGUGCCAAAGGCAGAUCCACACGAUUCAGACACACCUAUUUAUCAGAUUGUUUUCCUGGAACCUUGCAGAAGCAAUGCUGGCAGACCCAGAAGUGGCUCCUGUGCCUUGCAAUGAGCAAGCUGAACAGCAGAACUUGCUUUGCUUCCAACAGGAACAGGGCAGCCUGCAGUCUGUAGCACUGAUGUUAUCACCUGCUGAACCUCAUCGUUAAUAAGGAAUGAAUCUUUAAGCUCUGCUGUGGCAUGCCACUGCAUCUGACAGAAGGAAUGUCAGGGAAGCAGAGGUGAGCCACUGACCCCAGCCUCUGACAGUGGCCACUUGCCAUGACCAAAUCCAUGUCUCAACACCAGGAGACCUUUGUCUUACAUGCUCACUUGGUGAGCUCACCAGAGGAGUUCCAAGACACACAGCUGGAAGUCUCAACUGUUCCAACUGACCUCUGGUUCCAGGGAGGAAGCCCUGCCCUGGGUCUGAAGCAUGGAGCUCCACAGCCAGACACGGAUGCACCUAUUUAGCACAUUCAUGUUGGGAAGCAGACAGGUUCAGCAGCAAAUGGGGAAUGCCAGAGGCAAGGGUUGUUCUGAAAGAGGAGUUUACCCACGCCUGUCCUGUGGGAAAACUAAUACCUAGUACAAUCAGACUCCAGGAUGCAUUACGUACUCCACUUAACCAGCUCCAGAUAAUUGGGGGCAGGGAGCAUUAAAAGCCAUGCAAGGACAUUUAUUCUGAACACUGCAGGUUCUUCUAAAAGCCCUGAAGAUUCAGAGCUCUGCACAAUUUAACUGCAACUAAAAUACUUGGGUGACAGUUAAAAUUCCUGACUGAUUUCACAUAAAGGAGGCGUUUUCCAAACUGACAACAGAAUGGAACAAACCCUAAUAAACGUGUAGAAGCACCAAAGUUAACUCAUUCCAUCUGAACAGAUUGAGAAAAAACAACUGGGUUAACUGGCAGGGUUCUUGAUGCUCUUUAGGUUUAAUUUGUUCUUCACCAGUUAGUCUAAGUUCCCUCCAACUUUCAGAUAAAAUAUUUCAAAAAUUAUACGAACAGCUUUCUGCCAGGUAUGUUUUAAUAAUGAAAACUAUUUUAGUCCUUAAAACAAUAACUAGAUGGUUCAUAUGCGUUUUUUUAAAAACAUGUUAAAUAUUUCUGUGUCAUGCCUUUGGAGUAAACACCGUGACACAGAACUUAAAUUCAUUGUUCACUUAGAAUUCAUCAAACCAGUCAAGUAGGGCCAAGCUGGUCCUAAUUACUUUUACCAGUGGUUCAGAGAUGCUUCUGUUUUUUAGGGAGGAAACUAUGCUGGUUACCUUUCAGUGAUCUGCUUUUGGCAGUUCUCACUACUGAAGUUUUUAUGUAUUACACAGAACUGCUAAGCCUGAGAAGCUACCACUGCUUGCAAGAACCAGACCAUUGUUUAGACCCAAACCUAAAUCUCACUAGCUCAGAUUAACCUAAUACAGUAACUUGUUCUCCAGUAGGGACCCAGCAGCAGAUGUUUCAGAAAGAUUAUGGCAAGCACAGUCUCUCCCUCAGAAUUCUGCACCAUUCAGUACCUCCUGAAGUGAAAAUGAUGUAUUUAUAAUUCGAGUUGGAAUGGAAAAUCAGUCGGAACACCUUAAAACAACAAUUGCAAUUUUAAACAAGAAAGAUGGCAACUUCAGCCCUGCUUAAAAGUAGGAAUUCCAUUAAUAAGUAACUAAGACAACUAACUAUAAAAUUUUUACUCUGAACUCUACUUAUUUUAAAUAUUCAUGUAGGAUAACUGAAUUUCUUAACUUUAGCUCUUAGCCAUAAAACUUUGUAGACACUUUCCAUCCUUCAUCCGGCUAUGAAUAAAUCAUCAACACCAAAGAUAAUUUAAAAAAAACAAAGAGUGAUAUUAAAUGGCUUUAAAAGAAACUGGUUUGCAACUUCUUAAGUCUUUACAAGUAUUUCAACCCAAGUCAGUUUUCCUCUGCACAGGGAGGAAAGGCAAUUAUUCUUCACAGGGCAUCUGUAUCACCAUCCAAUAGAAAGGUCUCAAAUCUGCUUUAGAAAUACCAAAUUUCUCUAAAGUUAAAGUCCUUCAGCAUAAGAAGACCAAUCAAAAAUUCACCCAGUAUUACUUUAAUCUUUGCUUUUUAGUUACAUGUGAAAAUACUGGACAAAGUCUGUUUUGACACUACACUCCACCCUGAGCAACACACUGGCUACCUCACAGGUUGUGAGCAUAAUGAAGUCACUCUGUAGGUGGCUGGCAGACUUUCAUACCACUUCUAUUGCUUAGCCACAGAUAAGGGCCCACACUGGAACAAAACACACAUUAAAACAGCACCACAGUUGACACCAAGUUAAGAUGUACCAGUACAAUCUUUUCAGGCACUCACCUUUUCAAAGCAAACAAACACCCAAAAAACCACCCCAAAAUACAGGAGUUGAAGGCAUCUAAAAUUGAGUUACAGCAGCUACAGCUUCCACCUUCCUCAGAUGCCAUCUUUCAGAUUAAUGAAGAACAUACCACAGAGCCACCAUUUGAGAUUUAAGGGUGAUUUUGUAGCCAGGUUUGACUGCUUAAAGCCAUCAUAAAUGCAUUAGAGGGCAGAAGGCAAAUCUACUGUGCUGAGGUAUGGAAAGGUUCUUCACUGUCCAGCAUGUCUGUCUGUUCCAAAUGAAAAAUUUCCUAGGCAGGAAGUUUGAUAACACCACCUCUCACCACAUUUUAAUAUAUGAGAAAGACAAGUAUUUGUGGAGGGUACUGUAGGUUUAGGGGGAAAAAAACAAACAAGAUUAUUUAACAGCCUGUGUACACAAGUGACUAAUGUGCUAACAGGCAGUAUUGUCAGUGGUUGUAGCUAGACUUGUUUGCCAAAAUAUUAUCUGUUUCAAUCCAUUCACUUUUCCAUAAAAGCCAGAUUUCCAAGGAAGUGUAAAUAUUUAUAUUUGAAGCCAAAGUAACAUGGUAAUAAUUUUUCUUCAAAGAUCAGAAAACCCCCAAACUCUCUUAACAAAAUUUUUCCAACAUGAAACCCCCUAUCAGGUAUAUUAAGUUACCUAAAUGCCACCUGUUCUCUCUACAUGCCAACAGAAGCAGCUCAGGCAGUAGAUGGGACCCUUGCAGUUGGCAAUACCCUUGAAUUCCCCACUUUUUUUUUUUUUACAAAGAAGUCACAGAAGCCAUUUCAAAGACACCAGUUUCAUUCUAAUAGAUUGCUCCUUUAAGGUACUCUCAGUAGAAAAGGUGGAACUUUAAAGCAUUGCUUCAAAUGACAUAUUUAAACAAAAGCAGACUCAACAUUUCUGUGCAAAUUUAGUUCUUCCAACCAUCAGUUUGGAAACAUUUUCAACAGAAUGUUUAAGUUAACAAAUCAUGUUAGUUUAGAAUUAACAGGUAAGUACAGCAUUUUAAAACUAGUCAUCUAAAUAGCAUGUUGAGGGCAGUAUAAUACAUUGAGAACUUUUAAACUGUUAUGAGUCAGACAGACAUUUUAUAUAGAUUUAACACCUACCAAAGUAAAUUCUGUAACAAGGUGAUUUUGCAUUAUGCAUAUAACACUGAUCCUUAGGCAAACA